rnacentral:rRNA from 1 species
GAUGAACGCUGGCGGCGUGCCUAAUACAUGCAAGUCGAGCGAACGGACGAGAAGCUUGCUUCUCUGAUGUUAGCGGCGGACGGGUGAGUAACACGUGGAUAACCUACCUAUAAGACUGGGAUAACUUCGGGAAACCGGAGCUAAUACCGGAUAAUAUUUUGAACCGCAUGGUUCAAAAGUGAAAGACGGUCUUGCUGUCACUUAUAGAUGGAUCCGCGCUGCAUUAGCUAGUUGGUAAGGUAACGGCUUACCAAGGCAACGAUGCAUAGCCGACCUGAGAGGGUGAUCGGCCACACUGGAACUGAGACACGGUCCAGACUCCUGCGGGAGGCAGCAGUAGGGAAUCUUCCGCAAUGGGCGAAAGCCUGACGGAGCAGCGCCGCGCGAGUGAUGAAGGUCUUCGGAUCGUAAAACUCUGUUAUUAGGGAAGAACAUAUGUGUAAGUAACUGUGCACAUCUUGACGGUACCUAAUCAGAAAGCCACGGCUAACUACGUG